AGCAGCCGCGGUAAUUCCAGCUCCAAUAGCGUAUAUUAAAGUUGUUGCAGUUAAAAAGCUCGUAGUUGAAUUUCGGGGUUAGUAGGUUGGUCAUGCCUCCGGUAUGUACUGAUCUCACUGAUUCCUCCUUCCUUAUGAACCGUAAUGCCAUUAAUUUGGUGUUGCGGGGAAUUUGGACUGUUACUUUGAAAAAAUUAGAGCGUUUAAAGCAGGCUAACGCUUGAAUACAUUAGCAUGGAAUAAUGAAAUAGGACGUUCGAUCUUAUUUUGUUGGUUUCUAGGAUUGACGUAAUGAUUAAUAGGGAUAGUUGGGGGCAUUAGUAUUCAAUUGUCAGAGGUGAAAUUCUUGGAUUUAUUGAAGACUAACUACUGCGAAAGCAUUUGCCAAGGAUGUUUUCAUUAAUCAAGAACGAAAGUUAGGGGAUCGAAGACGAUCAGAUACCGUCGUAGUCUUAACCAUAAACUAUGCCGACUAGGGAUCGGAUGAUGUUAAUUUUUUAAUGACUCA
rnacentral:rRNA from 1 species